rnacentral:rRNA from 1 species
CUGGUUGAUCCUGCCAGUAGUCAUAUGCUUGUCUCAAAGACUAAGCCAUGCAUGUCUAAGUAUAAAUGUUAUACAGUGAAACUGCGAAUGGCUCAUUAAAACAGUUAUAGUUUAUUUGAUAAUCGAAUUUACAUGGAUAACCGUGGUAAUUCUAGAGCUAAUACAUGCUGUUAAGCCUGACUUCUCGGAAGGGCUGUAUUUAUUAGAUAACAAAUCAAUAUUCCCCGUGUCUAUUGUGAUGACUCAUAGUAACUGAUCGAAUCGCAUGGUCCUUGACCGCGAUACAUCAUUCAAGUUUCUGCCCCAUCAGCUUUCGAUGGUAGUGUAUUGGACUACCAUGGCUUUAACGGGUAACGGAGGAUUAGGGUUCGAUUCCGGAGAGGGAGCCUGAGAAACGGCUACCACAUCUAAGGAAGGCAGCAGGCGCGUAAAUUACCCAAUCCUGACUCAGGGAGGUAGUGACAAGAAAUAACGGACCGAGGCUUUGCUUCGGGAUUGCAAUGAGUAGAAUUUAAACCCCUUUAUGAGGAUCAAUUGGAGGGCAAGUCUGGU